rnacentral:rRNA from 1 species
UACGUAGGGGGCUAGCGUUGCUCGGAAUCACUGGGCGUAAAGCGCACGUAGGCGGCUUUCUAAGUCAGGGGGUGAAAUCCUGGAGCUCAACUCCAGAACUGCCUUUGAUACUGGAGAGCUUGAGUCCGGAAGAGGUGAGUGGAACUCCGAGUGUAGAGGUGAAAUUCGUAGAUAUUCGGAAGAACACCAGUGGCGAAGGCGGCUCACUGGUCCGGUACUGACGCUGAUGUGCGAAAGCGUGGGGAGCAAACAGG